UCGGUUAGAAUGUUACCCAAAAUGUGCUUCAUCAUUGCCAAAAACCUGUGGAUUACCGAAAUUCUCUGUCAGUCGAUAAGGUUGAAGAAAUUCCAAACAUAUCAGAAGGAUGGAUAAAAGUGCCAAGAAUUAACAAACAUGGCUGGGAUCAAAGACAUAUGCGCUUUGAAGAUAGUGUUCUUUACAUAUUUGAAACUGCAGAGGAGAAGGACCCUGAAGAAGCUUUACUGGAAAUAGACUUUUUGUCAGAUAAAGCAUCGAUCACAGUAUCAAGUUCGGUUUCUACUACUGAACUUCCUUAUGCAGCCAAUUCAGAUUUACAAUUUGUUCUGAAGGUAGAAUCAUUUCCCCACACUACAUGCUGGCCUAAAAGGUAUUAAAAGUUUGUGCUGACCAUUAUAUUCUUCCUGACAUGGAAAUUAAACCUUUGAAAACAUCUGAUCAUGCUUGGACAUGGGUUGCUCAAGAUUUUGCUGAUGAGGAACUUAAACCGGAACAAUUUUCUAUCCGAUUUAAAACAUCAGAGCUCGCCUUAGCAUAUAAAGAAGCUUUUAAGAAAGCAAUUAGAUUAGUAAAAAAUAGUAGUGCUAAGAUUAUAACUAGUCCAAAUAAUCCUUCAACUGGCAGUUCUCCUGGAUCUAAACCAUUUGCUUCUAAAUUUUCACACAAAUCUGGAUCAUGGUCAUGUCCAACCUGUUAUAUUAGUAA